rnacentral:rRNA from 1 species
CCUACGGGAGGCAGCAGUGAGGAAUAUUGGUCAAUGGGCGAGAGCCUGAACCAGCCAAGUCGCGUGAGGGAGUACUGCCCUAUGGGUUGUAAACCUCUUUUGUCGGGGAGCAAAAGCCGGACGUGUCCGGCUGUGAGAGUACCCGAAGAAAAAGCAGCGGCUAACUCCGUGCCAGCAGCCGCGGUAAUAGGGAGGAUGCGAGCGUUAUCGGGAUUUAUUGGGUUUAAAGGGUGCGCAGGCGGAUUUUUAAGUCAGGGGUCAAAUCGUGGAGCUCAACCCCAUCCAGCCGUUGAAACUGGGGAUCAAGGGGUUGCGAGAGGUAUGCGGAAUGCGUGGUGUAGCGGUGAAAUGCAUGGAUCUCACGCAGAACCCCGAUUGCGACGGCAGCCUACCGGUGCACAACUGACGCUCAGGCACGAACGCGUGGGUGUCGAACAGGCUUGGCUACCCGGUAGUC